AUGGAGCUGGGGUGGCUGUGGCCUGCGUGGGCCAUAUCCAGCCCCCAGGCUGCCAGUUUGACAGGCCUGGUUGCUUCUGACAUGAGUGCAAUGCAAGUACAGUAGCGAUUAUCAAUCUAAGAAGAUACCUCCUUUAUAUGAGACAUAAGAGAGCAGCCAAAAUGGCAGUAUCCAGACAAGGAAUAGAGCCUUUGAAAAGAUGAGUCUUCAGCAAGGUCUUCUAAUAAGUCGACUCAUCAUCAUGGCAACUGACUUUACUGGUGGGCUGCCUCUUUCUUUCUACCUUUCCCAGCAUCAGAAUCUUCUCCAGAGAGUAAGAUCUAUCCUGUUGGAGAAUAUGGCUGAGAAACACAUUGUUCGCUUAUCCGUUCACUCAUUCAUUCAUUCAUUCACUCA